GCUACCAUGCAGUCGGGCGAAGAAACUCCUUCGGGAGUGGAUUAGCGGCGGACGGGUGAGUAACACGUGGGCAACCUGCCUCAAAGAGGGGGAUAGCCUCCCGAAAGGGAGAUUAAUACCGCAUAAAAGGUAAAUAUCGCAUGAUAAAUACCUUAAAGGAGAAAUCUGCUUUGAGAUGGGCCCGCGUCGCAUUAGCUAGUUGGUGGGAUAACAGCCCACCAAGGCGACGAUGCGUAGCCGACCUGAGAGGGUGAACGGCCACAUUGGAACUGAGAGACGGUCCAGACUCCUACGGGAGGCAGCAGUGGGGAAUAUUGCACAAUGGGGGAAACCCUGAUGCAGCAACGCCGCGUGAGUGAAGAAGGUUUUCGGAUCGUAAAGCUCUGUCAUCCGGGACGAUAAUGACGGUACCGGAAGAGGAAGCCACGGCUAACUACGUGCCAGCAGCCGCGGUAAUACGUAGGUGGCGAGCGUUGUCCGGAAUUACUGGGCGUAAAGGGUGUGCAGGCGGAUAUUUAAGUGAGAUGUGAAAGACCCGGGCUUAACCCGGGCAGUGCAUUUCAAACUGGAUAUCUAGAGUGCAGGAGAGGAGAACGGAAUUCCUAGUGUAGCGGUGAAAUGCGUAGAGAUUAGGAAGAACACCAGUGGCGAAGGCGGUUCUCUGGACUGUAACUGACGCUGAGGCACGAAAGCGUGGGUAGCAAACAGGAUUAGAUACCCUGGUAGUCCACGCCGUAAAC
rnacentral:rRNA from 1 species